UGCGAGAUAGUGAAGAGGUCUCACACGAGGUUCAUGCCCUCGAAACCCUAGUUCGAAUCUAGGUCUCGCUU
rfam:Morganella phage vB_MmoM_MP1, complete genome.